rnacentral:rRNA from 1 species
CCUACGGGCGGCAGCAGUGAGGAAUAUUGGUCAAUGGGCGGAAGCCUGAACCAGCCAAGUAGCGUGCAGGAUGACGGCCCUACGGGUUGUAAACUGCUUUUAUACGGGAAUAACGCGCCUUACGUGUAGGGCUUUGCAUGUACCGUAUGAAUAAGGACCGGCUAAUUCCGUGCCAGCAGCCGCGGUAAUACGGAAGGUCCGGGCGUUAUCCGGAUGUAUUGGGUUUAAAGGGAGCGUAGGCCGCAGGGCAAGCGUGCGGGGAAAUGUCCGGGCUCAACCCGGGCCUUGCAGCGCGAACUGGCGUGCUUGAGUCCGCGGAAAGCAGGCGGAAUUCGUCGUGUAGCGGUGAAAUGCUUAGAUAUGACGAAGAACCCCGAUUGCGAAGGCAGCUUGCUGCAGCGGAACUGACGCUGAUGCUCGAAAGCGCGGUUAUCGAACAGGAUUAGAUACCCGAGUAGUC